rnacentral:rRNA from 1 species
UGAGGAAUAUUGGUCAAUGGGCGAGAGCCUGAACCAGCCAAGUAGCGUGCAGGAUGACGGCCCUAUGGGUUGUAAACUGCUUUUAUGUGGGGAUAAAGUGCGUGACGUGUCAUGCAUUGCAGGUACCACAUGAAUAAGGACCGGCUAAUUCCGUGCCAGCAGCCGCGGUAAUACGGAAGGUCCGGGCGUUAUCCGGAUUUAUUGGGUUUAAAGGGAGCGUUGGCUGUCUAUUAAGCGUGUUGUGAAAUUUACCGGCUCAACCGGUGGCUUGCAGCGCGAACUGGUCGACUUGAGUAUGCAGGAAGUAGGCGGAAUUCAUGGUGUAGCGGUGAAAUGCUUAGAUAUCAUGACGAACUCCGAUUGCGCAGGCAGCUUACUGUAGCAUAACUGACGCUGAUGCUCGAAAGUGCGGGUAUCAAACAGG